rnacentral:lncRNA from 10 species
UGGGCUAUGUGUCCUUUAUCUUCUAGUACUCUAGCCCCUCUUUCCGAGACAUUUGGUAACGUUCCAGUAACAAAAUGAAAUCACAUGCCAGAACCCAGAAUUAGAAGAGGACACCACACAAAAUUACAUGGCAAGGGUAUGAAUAAGUUAAUUAUUUGUGGCCAUAUUUCAACGGCAACGUGAUAUGGUGGGUAUGAGUUAUGA